ensembl:ncRNA lncRNA:CR44860 long non-coding RNA:CR44860
GCCGGCACAUGGCAAUCGACAUCUCAGUCCCAGAGUCGUUUUAAAGUCAGAGUUUCCUCUUUUUUUUUUAGCCAGAGGGCAAUGUACACGCAAUGCAAUAAGUGGACGAUCUACGACUGCAAGUGGGUGCAAUGGCUUUUAAUGAGCUGGUAAAGUGGAUGUAGCUCAACUUUGCUUUUCCCAAUCGCCAUCUUUGGCUGGCUUACACCUGAUGUGGACUUAACACUUAGUUAAUAAUAGUGGAAGAAUACUGUACUAUAUUUAUGAAAGUAAAAUAAUCAAAAAUAAAAUGAAAAAAU